ACAAUGGGCACAUAAACUUGUACAGUUACACCUGCAUGGCUACAUCCAUAAUCAAGCAACUCUUUCUUAGUGUACAAUCAAAUAUUCUAUGGAAGUACAAGAUAAAUAAGGAGAGAAACACCAGUAGGCAAGAGAUGAUAAUAUUCAUUUCCUUUUCGUUUAGAUAUUUUGCCAGGGAAUUUUUCACUUGAUUACAUUGAAGCGACUUACUUUACCCGUUCUGAUUCAAGAAGAUGAUCAAGUUAGCAAUCCUUCUAACAUUUCUUAUUCUUCUUUUUGAAUCCAUUUAAUGCUUCCAUUUCUUUUGAUUUUUUUUCAUUAAGUUUUUUUUUGAAACCCUAACAUAUUUUAUUUCAAAGUUUUGAUUAUUUUGUUGUUUUGUGUUACGAUUAAGUUUGAGGCUAUGUUAAUCGGGUUUGCUAGAUUUGCUCUGUUACACAUCAUAGGCUGGGCUGAUAAAAUUCAUGGGCUCACGGUUCAGGCUGAUGGGCCUCAUCAUGUUCAGACCCUGCAUGAACCGAUCGCUGUUGCGGGCCAAAUCAUUCCAUGGAACUUCCCUCUUCUAAUGUAUUCUUGGAAGGUUGGGCCUGCUUUAGCAUGUGACAAUACACUCGUACUUAAAACCACUGAACAGACGCAAUUGUCUGCCCUCUAUGUGUCAAAGCUUUUCCAUGAGGUGGUGUUUGAGAUUGAAAACUUUUUUGGUUGCGUGAUCGUUUAAUUCUUGAAGAAUGAUAUAUCAUGGCUGUGUAUACUUGUAAAAAGUGUAAGAUUGAUGCAUUUGCUGUAUGGAAUGCUUGGGGACUUGCUUUAAUUCCGACGGAACACUAUGCUCGAGUUCGUGUCAAGUUCAAUUGAUAGUGGACAGGGAUCAGGUUGCGGUUUUGACUUAUUGGGGAUUUCAAGAUCUUAACUUACCGGAAAGGAUGGUACUAAUAACUUAGGUGGCUAUGAUGAUUAACUUUCGGUGGGGUAAUUUGGAUGUCAUUCGAGAGGAACAACUAUUUUUCUCGCAUUGCGACUGAUUGUGUUGCAUCCCUGUACGUAUGAAAUAUCAUUUUAUAUACUUUACAAUACCCUUUCAAGGAAUUGUCUAUUGUUAAGGAUAUACCAGUUAAAUUUUGACUUCAUGGAAAUCGGUAUCAUGCGAUAUGUGUUGGAUUUGAUACUGAUGGGAAUUGUGAGACUUCAAGGUUGUGCCCAAGGUGUUUAGUUGAAUGAAGGUCCCCUCCUUCCGAGGUACGCUCCAAUUAAGCACCACAUCUACAACAACAAUCUCAAUCAACCCAUCGAUACAAUAUGAUGCCAUGAUUAUCAAGAUUUGCAGAACCGCCACGUAUCGCGAACCAGAUCGCUUGUAUCGGAAUUGGGUACAGAGUCGAACUGAACGCUACGGGUUCGCGAUUCGGAUCGGAAAUAUUGGUCAUAACCGAUUGUCACUAAAUUCGUUUCAAAUAAUAUCUAUGAUCUAACCCGCUUAUCACUUUUAUACUGUUAUUUGUUUCCGAUCUCUGUUUCUCCCUAUCACCUUUUAUUUUAGAAUCCCUAAUUAAAUUGUUCUUUGUUG